AAGCCUCUAGAUAGAAAAUAGGUGCCCGUACCGCAAACCGACACAGGUAGUCAAGAUGAGAAUUCUAAGGUGAGCGAGCGAACUCUCGUUAAGGAACUCGGCAAAAUGACCCCGUAACUUCGGGAGAAGGGGUGCUCUUUAGGGUUAACGCCCAGAAGAGCCGCAGUGAAUAGGCCCAAGCGACUGUUUAUCAAAAACACAGGUCUCUGCUAAACCGUAAGGUGAUGUAUAGGGGCUGACGCCUGCCCGGUGCUGGAAGGUUAAGAGGAGUGGUUAGCUUCUGCGAAGCUACGAAUCGAAGCCCCAGUAAACGGCGGCCGUAACUAUAACGGUCCUAAGGUAGCGAAAUUCCUUGUCGGGUAAGUUCCGACCCGCACGAAAGGCGUAACGAUUUGGGCACUGUCUCAACGAGAGACUCGGUGAAAUCAUAGUACCUGUGAAGAUGCAGGUUACCCGCGACAGGACGGAAAGACCCCGUGGAGCUUUACUGUAGCCUGAUAUUGAAAUUCGGCACAGCUUGUACAGGAUAGGUAGGAGCCUUUGAAACGUGAGCGCUAGCUUACGUGGAGGCGCUGGUGGGAUACUACCCUAGCUGUGUUGGCUUUCUAACCCGCACCACUUA
rnacentral:rRNA from 1 species